ACUAUAGUGAUGAGUAGGGUGACUAGGUAGGAAUUCUUUGCCUACCCACUCUGCUCCUUUUUCCAGGUUCCUCUUUCCUGAAGUCCUCUUCAAUUAAAACCUUGCAACUUUGGGGAAUAAGUGAGAUAAAAAAAAAUUGCAAUGAUUUAAGUACUUACUGAACACCAGACCCUGUGCUAAAACAGUCAUUUAUACUUACCUUGUUUUCACAACUUAUGAGGCAGGUGCUACUCUCAUCUGUGAUUUUCACUCUUAAAUCAUAUAGCCUGGUAGCAGAGGAGCCUGAUAUUUGAUCCAGGGCUCCUUUAUGCCAAAAUAUUUACUCUCAAUUUCUACAGAGGGCUCCCCAACAUCUAUUAUGUCAUUUAGCCUGGUCAGGACCAAAUAUGGCUAGGAGCAGAGACAAAUCCUUCUGUAACUGAGGUAGAGUUCAGCCUUUGCAGUGCAGCCACAAGAAAAACUGAAGCACAAUCUGAUGGCUGCUGCCUCAUGAGUGUUCUUCCAGGAAAUGGAUUUCCUUUCCUGUGGUUCCUUUAAGGAAGCCCACACUUCUGGUACCUGUGAAGGGUAAGCGGGGACCUUCCUAGACUCAUCUUUACUACAGGAAAUGAGAACCUUUCCUAUUCUUUCCAAUAUACUUCGUUCAUCUCAGUAACUUGUCCUAAGUCUUUUGACUCUUAGGAGUCAAUAUCUCCUAACCCAAAGCACAUUUGUGCUCUACAGAUGGUGGCAAGGUGACUGGUCAGUGCACCAAAAUCUCUUUUAUCUGCAUUAUGCUGGACGAUUGAUAGUAUGGUCAAACUCAGAAUAGAGUUGCUGAAGACUGUGAAAUUAAUCGAAGCUCUUUCACACUCCUUUCAUCCCAUAGCAAUGACAAGCACAUAGUAGUAAAUAAUAAUAGAUUGUAUUUAAUGAGAAUUUUCCAAAUGUUUGAUAGUGCUCCACAUGAAUGAUCUCUUUUGGCCUACAGAGCAGCAAUAUGCAGUGGACACAUUGUGAGGCUCAAGAGAUUGAGGCUGAGAGAAGUUAUGUAAUUCCCAGUGUCCCAGAGGUGAAUAAGUAUGCACAUCCAAGCAGGAUUGGGGGUGGGGCACUCUCUUACCAGCACAGCAGACUAAGAAGGAGCCAGGUCAGAAGAACCCAUGAUAGGCUUUCCCAGGGUCAGACUGAGGUGGAUAACUAACUGCACCCAUUAAUGUCUAAGAGGACCAGUCACGUUCCUCCCCGUGACCUGUGGGACAGGAGGCAAUGACUUAGGCAAUGACAGGAGGCAGUGGCUGCAGAAGAGAGGACUCCCUCAGCUCUGAGCUCAGCAAAGACUUCCAUUUGUACCUCGCAGCUCUCCAUGGCACUAGGUGGCUUCAUGCAUGAAUGUGUGGGGACGGAGCAUUUCCAAUUCUCUCAUCUGUUCCAGGACUUUCCCCAGGGCUACUUCAUUCCCAGGUUCAGCCCAGCUCCACAUGGGCACAUUGAACCCCUCACCCCAAACAGAGCUCACAAAGAUGCCAUUCUCUCUGGGCCCAGACUCCUUCCCUGCAAAAAUAAAGAAAAAAUAAAUAAAAAUAGUAAUAGAUCCAACCAUAAAUUCUAUGAAUUCGCUGUAAUAAAACAUAAAAGUUGCAUGAAUUUAACUCAGGUUGAUUCCCUAACUUUGCUAUGGUAUGAGUAAGACACGUAACCACUUUAAAUGUCCAUUUUCUCAUCUGUAAAAUUAGAAUGAUAAGAAUAAUGUCUCAUAGGGAAGCUGAUGGGGUGAAUAUUAUAAAACUACAUGAAAAUGGGGCAAUGAGAUAGCAGAGAUGGGACUUCGUCUGACUUCCCUGUGAGAACUCCGGGAAGCCAAAGGUUCUCAAGGCCAAUUUAGAAUUCCAGAAUUACAGUUUUCUGGUUACAAACUGUAUGUCUUUUCUGUUCUGGAAUUGAAAAGGACCAUGCUUUCUUACACUACUCGGUGUCCGGUAUAAGAAACCACCAUAACCAACUUUUUUUUUUGCCUGUCCUGGGACUUGAACUCAGGGCCUG